GCUGCGUGUAGUGGUACGCACCUCUAAUUCCUGCUACUAGGGAGGCUGAAGCUGGUGAAUUGCUUGAGUUUGGGAAUUAUGAACUGCAGUAUUCUAAGCUGAUCAGUUGUCUGAACUAAGUCUGACACCAAUAUCGUGGGCCCUCAGGAGUGGAGGACCACCAGCCUGUCUAAGGAGGGGAGAACAGACCCAGAUUAGAAAUGAGCUGGUCAGAGCUUUCCUUCCAGGCAGCUUGGGUAGCUACUUCUACUGUACUUCUGUUCUCAGAAAGGAAGACCAGGAGAUCCACUCUCA
rnacentral:SRP_RNA from 1 species